CAGCUACCAGCGAGGAGGGCCUGUGGGCUCAAAGACCCAACAGGAAUUCCUGCAGAAGCCCCAUAGCUUGAAGAGGGACCGUGGGAUGAAUGAGCCUGCAUGCAGCCUGGAAUGCAAAGGUUGUGCUGCUCUCCCGCAGCAGAGGGAAAGGGAGAGGGGAGAGGAAGGAGAGGGGUAGGGAGGCCACAGUGGGACAGUGGGAGGGAGAGAGAACAGAGGGCAGGUGGGCUGUGGCCAGCUGCGGGGCUCAGGAGGAGCCGCAGGCCUGCCAGCGUGUUUCUCUGUGUUAGAACCGGCCUGAGAAAGAAACUACCUGGAGGUGGGAGUCGCGGGAAGCUGAGAAGGGCUGGCAGCUGAGCAGCUCUUGGACGUGGCCCUCGGCUCCUACCUGUGCUUCCCUGUGCAGGGAGAAAGCUGCAGGAUGGCCAGGGGGUCCUGCUAGGGACAGAGCUCCCCACUCAUCAAGGCCUGGGUUGGAGGGACCCCUGGGACAGUGCAAGAGGAGGAGUUUGGGGUAGGGGCAGAGGGCCUGGCAGGUGGCCCAGAGCAGCAAGCAGGUGCUCCAUAGAGAAUGUCCUCAUAUCCUUCUGCUGGGGAGAGGGACCUGACUCCCUAGUGCUCACGGGCGAGGGCCAGCUCUCUGUUGGAUGAGCCCCCCACUGCAUCAGUGGCAGCAGUUGUGGGUGUGAGCCCCAAAUACUUCUGCUGUCUAUUCAAAAUGGGGAUACUGGCAGGUAGGGGUGGAGGUGAGGCGCUCAGGAGCAACGCAGC
rnacentral:lncRNA from 10 species